GUUUGGAGGCUGUAAUUAUCAUUCUGGUUGUCUUGAAGAUCAGACUUCAGUGAUUUCACUCUCAGGAAAAGAUGGCAUGGGAUUUCUGAAAAAAGAAGAAGGUUUCUUCUCAAGAUGGCUUUAGGAACAAAUUAUGCUGAAGUGAGUUUGAAAAAUGAACUGAAGUCCUCAGGCGUCAACUCAAAUUCUCCUGCAGGAUUCCCUUGAGAAGGCAUGCAUGAAGCUGUGAAGGGGAAGCUGAAGCUGGAAUGGAGAUCCCAGGGAUUAAGAUAUGCCAGUAAUGUGGAAUGUCUGCUGAGGGAAGCUGUUGGCUGUAGAUGGAGUCAGCCUAAGAAAGAGACCAUGUGGAUGACAACCAGCAAGGCCAUUUAGGUGGUGCUGCAGAAGCUCUUUGAAGAUUACAUCUCACCACAAUAUUACCAAGAUGCUGGACAUGGAGUUUUAGAAACUAAUAUCUGCCUAAGUUUUGGUUUCGUCCCUUCCUUCUAUAUCCUUAUUCCUCCUUUUUGGAAUGGGAACAUUUACUUUAUGCCAUUGUAUAUUGGAAGUAUGCAACUUGUAAGGACAGGCACUGGCGAUCAAAAGGAGGCAGAUUAAAAGCAGCUGAAUAAGG